GCACCUGUACUCAAUUGGUGAGAGUUACCACUUGAGGUGGUAAAGGUUGCUGGUUCGAGUCCAGUCAGGUGUG
rnacentral:tRNA from 2 species